GGUACCUGUACGCGUUGCGGUGCAACGCUCGUGAAAGG
rfam:Ruminococcus sp. DSM 100440 contig00001, whole genome shotgun sequence.